AACGAACGCUGGCGGCAGGCUUAACACAUGCAAGUCGAGCGCCCCGCCAGGGGAGCGGCAGACGGGUGAGUAACGCGUGGGAACGUACCUUUUGGUUCGGAACAACUCCGGGAAACUGGAGCUAAUACCGGAUAAGCCCUAACGGGGAAAGAUUUAUCGCCGAAAGCUCGGCCCGCGUCUGAUUAGCUAGUUGGUGAGGUAACGGCUCACCAAGGCGACGAUCAGUAGCUGGUCUGAGAGGAUGAUCAGCCACACUGGGACUGAGACACGGCCCAGACUCCUACGGGAGGCAGCAGUGGGGAAUAUUGGACAAUGGGCGCAAGCCUGAUCCAGCCAUGCCGCGUGAGUGAUGAAGGCCUUAGGGUUGUAAAGCUCUUUUGUCCGGGAAGAUAAUGACUGUACCGGAAGAAUAAGCCCCGGCUAACUUCGU
rnacentral:rRNA from 1 species